AAUGCAUGUGUAACAAAAGCUGAGUUUUUAUUCUUUUCUUUUCUUUACUUUACUUUCCUCUUUUCUCCUCUCCUCUCCUUUCCUUUCCUUUUCAAGACAGGGUUUUGUUGUGUAGCUUUGGCUGUCCUGGAACUAGCUCUGUAGAACAGGCUGGCCUCAAGCUCAGAGUUCCACCUACUCUUGUGGGUGCUCUGAUUAAAGGUAUACAUAACCACUAUCUGGCCAGACACUGAUCUUAACGGCUUUCAGCUUGAAAUUUGUGGCGCCAGAGCCCAGAACAGUGGUUUGGGCACCUACCUGAGUCUGGGCACCUACCUGAACCUUUGAGAAAAUGUUUUUUCAGUCCUCAGAACACCCCCAUGAGGAUGGCAACACAUUUAUUGCAAUUAACAGCAGGAGAGGAAGAGGCCCAGAGAAGUUGUAUUGGCAACACCAGCAAUGCAUUGGCUUCAAAGGUCUGGGCUUCUCACUACUAGACUGUACAAUUUAAGUGUGAUGCAGUUUAGUUCACAAGCUCCUGCUCCUAUAGAGGGUCCCAAGACUUGAACCUCUGACACCAAAAACGUUCCUGGGUCCCAGGAAGGAAGUUGUUCAAGGAGACUGUGGGCUAGAAGCUGAGGAGUUUGGACUCACAGUACAUACAACACACACACACACACACACACACACACACACACACACACACACACACUGGAUGUCCUCCAAGGUCCAGUGUGGUAGAGCCCCAGUAAUCCCAACUCUCCAUCUAAGGUCAACAUAGGCUACAAGUCUCUGCCCAUUCAGCCAAGCAGCUUUACAAGGACAAAACCCAUAGAAGGGACAAAAGGGACACCUUAGAAACAGUGCCCUCCUUCUCUGUAUCCAAGAGAGACGGAUGAACACCUUCUGCCCAGCCUGGAAGUACUAGGAUCACCCUGAUUUACAGAGGAAAUCCCAGAAAACUGCUUUAAUCCCUGGCCACUCUGUUCAGUCCUGAGCAGAUAAGGUGGUUCUUGCCAGGGGCCAGGAUGGCACCUGCCCAUGUGUUGCUGCUGUGCAUCAAAUAAGGUGGCCUUUGCAGCAGUGGCUGUGUGUUUGAAAUGCAUGUGCCUGUGGAAGUCUGUGAGAGUACAGUAAUGAUGAUUAGGAAGCACAUACUAUGUGCUAAGCUCCCGUGGCGCCUCUUGCUUCACUCUCAUAGCAACCCUGUGAGUAAAGAUUGUGUCUCUUUUUUUUUUUCCCCCACAGAUUCAGAAAACAGUCAGGGCUGGGGAGAUGGUUCCCUGUGGGUAAAACAUUUGCCACGCACUCAUGAAGACUGGAAAUUAUGACACACGCCUUUCAUCUCAGCACUUGGGAGGCAGAGGCAGGUGGAUCUCUGAGUUCAAGGCCAGCCUGGUCUACAGAGUGAGUUCCAGGACAGCCAGGGCUAUACGGAGAAACCCUGUCUCAAACAAACAAACAAACAAACAAAAGACUUGAGUUUGAAUCCCCAGAACCCACCUAAAUGUCAGGCAUAGUGGUACACCCACAGGAGAUGAGAGGCAAAGACUCGAGGAAUUCCAGAAGCUCCAAGGCCAGCUAGCCCAGCACAUGAAGCUGUGAACAUAAAACGAACGCUGUCCCAAACGAGAUGGAAGGCCAGGACCUACACAGAAGUUUGUCCUCCAAUCUCCACAGUAAUGCCAUGGCAUACAUAUGCAAGUGCUCAUACACACAUAAAUGCAUACACACACACACACACACACACACACACACACACAGAGGAAGAUUUAAAGUAACUAGUCAAGCUGCUUUCUGGUUUGCUACAGAAAGAACUUUGCAUAACCAGAAAGGAUAGAGCUGCCAGAUUCAGUGAGAAAUGCUGGGGUGGAUAGAAAAGACAUGAGGUGUCACAUGACAGCAUGUUGUCACCCCCUCACACCCACACACUCCUGCCAGAGACGAAGCUGUUACAUUAUUAUAGCAUUGGAAAGUCUCUAUCAAACAGGUCCUGCAUCUGUGUACAGGCGGGGCAGACACAGAUCUUGGGUCACUACCACAGCCUAUAUAGACACCAAGCACGAUAGCCAUUUAAAGGUGUGUGUCAUCAUGCAUGCAAGCCAUAAACACUUAAGACAGAGGAACCAACAACGUACUUUGAACCCUCACCUCUAUUCCGCUUACACCUAAGUCAGCUUCCUACCAAAGUUGUCCUGACUCUGGGCAGAAAGGUCUGUGUAGAUGAUGUAAAAUGGCGUUGCUGGUAGGACAGCCUGGGAGAAGCUCUCUGACCCACUUCACCCCAUUGGCUGUGCCUGCCUCACCCCUACAGUUUAUGCCGUGUAGGGCCUCCUUACUGCUGAUCUGAAACUUUGCCACAGGCUGCUCUGAGAUCCUCCUCUCCCAGGACUCCUCACCCUCAAGAGCCAUGAAAUAGUUGGGGACAGCUAGGCACUGAAUAAAUAAUUCAUAUGCCCACUGUGCAAGGAGCUCAGGACACAACAGAAAAACCUUUAUGGAGCUAACUGUAUAGCCAAGGAAAAAUGAGUGUCAAUGGGAGUGAUGGGGCCAAUAAGA